ACCCAAUGUGAACGUUACCAAACUGUUGCCUCGGCGGGGUCACGCCCCGGGUGCGUCGCAGCCCCGGAACCAGGCGCCCGCCGGAGGAACCAACCAAACUCUUUCUGUAGUCCCCUCGCGGACGUAUUUCUUUACAGCUCUGAGCAAAAAUUCAAAAUGAAUCAAAACUUUCAACAACGGAUCUCUUGGUUCUGGCAUCGAUGAAGAACGCAGCGAAAUGCGAUAAGUAAUGUGAAUUGCAGAAUUCAGUGAAUCAUCGAAUCUUUGAACGCACAUUGCGCCCGCCAGUAUUCUGGCGGGCAUGCCUGUCCGAGCGUCAUUUCAACCCUCGAACCCCUCCGGGGGAUCGGCGUUGGGGAUCGGGACCCCUCACACGGGUGCCGGCCCCUAAAUACAGUGGCGGUCUCGCCGCAGCCUCUCCUGCGCAGUAGUUUGCACAACUCGCACCGGGAGCGCGGCGCGUCCACGUCCGUAAAACACCCAACUUUCUGAAAUGUUGACCUCGGAUCAGGUAGGAAUACCCGCUGAACUUAAGCAUAUCAAUAAGCGGAGGAA
rnacentral:rRNA from 1 species